rnacentral:rRNA from 1 species
ACGUAGGUGGCAAGCGUUGUCCGGAUUUACUGGGUGUAAAGGGCGUGUAGGCGGGGCUGCAAGUCAGAAGUGAAAUCUAUGGGCUUAACCCAUAAACUGCUUUUGAAACUGUGGCUCUUGAGUAUCGGAGAGGCAGGCGGAAUUCCUAGUGUAGCGGUGAAAUGCGUAGAUAUUAGGAGGAACACCAGUGGCGAAGGCGGCCUGCUGGACGACAACUGACGCUGAGGCGCGAAAGCGUGGGGAGCAAACAG